CCCUAUUUUUUUUUUUUUUUUGCCCCCAGGCUGGAGUGCCAUGGCACGAUCUCGGCUCACUGUAACCUUCGCCUCCCAGAUUCAAGUGAUUCUCCCGCCUCAACCUCCAGAGUAGCUGGGAUUACAGGCAUGUACCACCACGCCUGGCUAAUUUUUGUAUUUUUAGUGACACGUGGUUUCACCACGUUGGCCAGGCUGGUCUCGGACUCCUGACCUCAGGUGAUCCACCCGCCUUGGCCUCCCAAAGUGGUGGGAUUACAGGCGUGAGCCACCGAGCCUGCCCCCAUUUUUAAAACUAGGUUGUUUUUUGGGUAUUGAGUUGCAUUAAUUCCUUACAUAUUUUGGUUAUUAACUCCUUAUCAGAUGCAUGGUGUAUGCCAGCAUCCCCCAGCUUCCUGGCCUAUGUGCCAUGGGCGUUUCCCUCCUGGGUGAGGGGACUCGGGGCAGGCUGUGGUUACCUGUGGGUGUGUUUGUCUGCAUGAGAGUGGAUGCGACAGUAUCCAUUUGGCAUGCAAAGAGCUGGCUGGAGGUGUGUCUUUGUGACCAUACGUGUGGGUAUAGUGUUGUGGGUUGGGGGCCCCUCCCUUCCUGUGACUAUGUGAGAUUACAUGCAUGACUUUUUGUUGAUUUGUUUUGAGAGAGUCUCGCUCUGUCGCCCAGGCUGGAGUGCAGUGGCGUGAUCUUGGCUCACUGCAACCUCCGCCUCCUGAGUUCAAGCGAUUCUCCUGCCUUAGCCUCCCGAGUAGCUGGGAUUACAGGAGCUCGCCAGCACACCCGGCUAAUUUUUGUAUUUUUAGUAGAGAUGGGGUUUCCCCAUGUUGGCCAGGCUAGUCUCAAACUCCUGACCUCAGGUGAUCCACUCGCCUCAGGCUCCCAAAGUGCUGAGAUUACAGGCGUGAGCCACCGUUUCCGGCUUCAUGCUUGAGUUUUAGUCUGGUGUAUGUGUGGUUGUGUUUUGAAUGUGCCUGUGGAUCUCUGUGUUUGUGUGUAUGGUUUUCUAUAUGUAUACAUGUUUGCAUAAUUGUGUGUUUUCAGAAAUACUGGUGGGGCUUGGUGGCUUAUACCUGUAAGAUGGGAGGAUUACUUGAGGCCAGGAGUUCGAGACCAGACUGGGGAACAUAGUGAGUCCCCAUCUCUCCAAAAAGAAAAAAAUUAGCCAGGUGUGGUGGCACAUGCCUGUGGUCCCAGCUACUCGGGAGGCUGAGGUGAGAGGAUUGCUUGAGGCCGGGAAAGUCAAGGCUGCAGUGAGCCAUGAUCGUGCCACCGCACUCCAGCCUGGACAACAGAACAAGACCCUGUCUCAAAAAAAAAAAAGAAAUAUUUGUUGCAUGUGUAUGUAUUUGUGGGCAUGUUGUCUGUGUGUGACUGCACAAGACGGGUGCACGUGCAAUGCAUGCGUGUGUGAUGAUGUGUUCUUGGACGUUGUUUCUUGCGUGUCUGUAAACUGUGUGUUUGUGGGUGUGCCUGCUGUUAACCAUGCUCCGCCACGUGCAUAGAGAGUGGUUAUCCAUCCCUGCAUGGAUGCGUAUGCUUAGAGAAAACUCCUUUCUGGGUCUGAGUGUGGUGGCUCAUACCUGUAAUCCCAGCACUUUGGGAGGCCAAGACUGUGGGUUUGUGGGUGCAUGUGUCUGGUGCGUGUGUUUGCACGUGUGUGAGGCUGUGCAUGCACUGGUGUGACUGUCUUGUCGCUGCUGUAGGAGAGAAGUUCCCCGACCCAGCCCCAGCCCAGCCCUGACUCAUCACUGCUCCUACCUCCAGCAGGGACAGCCGGCUCUGCAAACUCUCCACCUCCCGUCCCAGGCUCUCCUUCUCCUCUUGUCUCUCCACCAGCAACUGCUGUAGCUCUUGCACCUGGGAGCAGCAGUGGAGGCUCAGCUGCCUCUGGGAGGAAAGGCUGGGCAGCAGGAGGACCGGCUCCUCCCCACCUUCCCACCUACCUGUCUCUCCAGGAUGUGCAGGGAGCUGGCCUCCGGGGA
rnacentral:lncRNA from 1 species